rnacentral:lncRNA from 1 species
CAGCCCGCGGGCCGGCCGCCGCCGCCAGGUUGUGCCUGAGACUGUCAGAUAAAGCGGCGGGCCGGCGGGAGGGGAGGCGGUGAGCACGGCCCGGGCCGGACAUGGCGGCGCUCUACGCCUGCACCAAGUGCCACCAGCGCUUCCCCUUCGAGGCGCUGUCUCAGGGGCAGCAGCUGUGCAAGGAGCAAAACCAAUACAAUAUGCAAGAAGUGUGCUCAGAAUGUACAGUUAUAUGGAACGCCUAAGCCCUGUCAGUAUUGUAACAUAAUUGCUGCAUUUAUUGGGGAUAAAUGCCAGCGCUGCACGAAUUCCGAGAAGAAGUAUGGGCCCCCGUACUCCUGUGAACAGUGCAAGCAGCAGUGUGCGUUCGACAGGAAGGACGAUCGAAAGAAGAGUUAGAGUUUAAUAAGAAAAGGUGCUGUGGGCUGGAGAGAAGAGCUCAGGCUCCUCUUCCAGAGGACCCGGCUGGAUUGAAUACCCUCGGAGCUGCCACCUUGAGACUGUGCAGCGAGGGAGGCUUUUUCUCACCAAUAAACCUUUUCUUCAGGGUGUACUCUUGGGUUUCCAGGUAUAUUAUGUACGGCCUUUGUACUAUGUAUACACAGAGCUUUAUUUAUUUUUUAAAAAGGAAACCUUUUCUUGAUAAAGGGAUGAUGGUAGCCUAGUUAGUUCUUGUAAAAGUGAUGCCUCUUUGAAAAAAGAAAAAAAUCUCCAGUCCCAUUUGCUAGCUUUUAGUAGAAGACUCCAAUCUUUUCUUCCUCAUUACCUUAGAGUCUUGAUGCUAAGUUAACUGUUGGAGGCUAAGUGUGGACUAAGUGCCUUUGGAGGAUCCCAUGGAAGAGUGUGUGAGGAGAGGCUUAAGGGAGGUUGCUUGCCAAGUUUGGCCAGUCUGUCUUUAAGUGGGGCAGAAAGACGGUUGUCCAGGUUGUACUGGGCACUUCCUUCUCUGCCUGCCCCUCCUCCUCUUUCUACAUGAUUUUAAAUUCCCACACUGCCACUUCUUUUUAAAAACGUUCCUGUUUCUUGCUCUAUCAGCUGUCAUACCAGGUUGUUAUCAAAACAUGGGGGUUUGUU